rnacentral:lncRNA from 9 species
CCGCGCGCGCGCUCCCCCCUGGGGUUCCGGAUGGUGAGCGGCGAAGGUAAGGCGAGCUCGCAGAGGCAGCGGCGGCGGCGGCGGAGACGGAGAGAGGCAGGCAGGCAGGGCGAGGGCGAGAGACGGAGGGAGGGAGCGAGCGAGCGAGGCAGACCAGACAGACAGACAGGCGGGCGGGCGGGCGGGCAGAGCGAGCCACCCGCCAGGCUGCGCUCAGCCCCGCUCGCAGCGGAGAGAGCAGAAGGCAGGAGGAGGGAGGGGAGGAGGGGGAGGGAGGGAGAGAGGGAAUCCAGCUACCACCACCCAAAGCCAGCGUCUGCUUUCUGUCCUCAUUUCCUUUUCCCACCCAGCUCUGAGAGCAGAGAAAGGCAGAGGGAGCGAGAGAUAGAGACAGUCAGACAGACAGACAGACAGCCGGAGAGAGCGGGAGGGAGGAGGGCGGAGGAGAGGAGCAGGAGCAGGAGGAGGACUACGCGGGGCGCGUUCCCUCCCAGCCGGGCGCCCGCGUCGCCGCCGCCGCCGGAAGACAGACGCCCCCCAAAGCCCUUCGCCUGGCUCGGACCCACGGAGCCGGCAGACCAGCACUCCGCUUUCAGAAAACCAACGCCAAGACCCCUCCCAGCGUCCACAUCGUCCUCUGGCAGGAGCGCCUGCCCCUCUGCCUCCUGA